UACGAAGGUGGCAAGCGUUGUUCGGAUUUACUGGGCGUACAGGGAGCGUAGGCGGUUGGAUAAGCCCUCCGUGAAAUCUCCAGGCUUAACCUGGAAAGUGCAGAGGGGACUGUUCAGCUAGAGGAUGGGAGAGGAGCGCGGAAUUCCCGGUGUAGCGGUGAAAUGCGUAGAUAUCUGGAGGAACACCGGUGGCGAAGGCGGCAUUCUGGACCGAAACUGACGCUGAGGCGCGAAAGCCAGGGGAGCAAACGGG
rnacentral:rRNA from 1 species